GCCACGGUGGUCUAGCGGUUAGAACUCUGGUCUUGUAAUCCUGGGGUCUCGGGUUCGAUUCCCGGCGGUGCCC
rnacentral:tRNA from 1 species